rnacentral:rRNA from 1 species
UACAGAGGUCUCAAGCGUUGUUCGGAUUCAUUGGGCGUAAAGGGCGCGUAGGCGGCGAGGUAAGUCUGGUGUGAAAUCUAGGAGCUCAACUCCUAAACUGCACUGGAUACUGCUUUGCUUGAGGACUGGAGAGGAGAUUGGAAUUCACGGUGUAGCAGUGAAAUGCGUAGAUAUCGUGAGGAAGACCAGUGGCGAAGGCGGAUCUCUGGA